GGGUGAGUAACGCGUGGGCAACCUGCCCCAUACAGGGGGAUAACAGUUAGAAAUGACUGCUAACACCGCAUAAGCGCACAGGGCCGCAUGGCCCGGUGUGAAAAACUCCGGUGGUAUGGGAUGGGCCCGCGUCUGAUUAGCCAGUUGGCGGGGUAACGGCCCACCAAAGCGACGAUCAGUAGCCGACCUGAGAGGGUGACCGGCCACAUUGGGACUGAGACACGGCCCAAACUCCUACGGGAGGCAGCAGUGGGGAAUAUUGCACAAUGGGGGGAACCCUGAUGCAGCGACGCCGCGUGAGCGAAGAAGUAUCUCGGUAUGUAAAGCUCUAUCAGCAGGGAAGAAAAAUGACGGUACCUGACUAAGAAGCCCCGGCUAACUACGUGCCAGCAGCCGCGGUAAUACGUAGGGGGCAAGCGUUAUCCGGAUUUACUGGGUGUAAAGGGAGCGCAGGCGGCGCGGCAAGUCUGAUGUGAAAGCCCGGGGCUCAACCCCGGGACUGCAUUGGAAACUGUCGCGCUCGAGUGUCGGAGAGGUAAGUGGAAUUCCUAGUGUAGCGGUGAAAUGCGUAGAUAUUAGGAGGAACACCAGUGGCGAAGGCGGCUUACUGGACGACAACUGACGCUGAGGCUCGAAAGCGUGGGGAGCAAACAGGAUUAGAUACCCUGGUAGUCCACGCCGUAA
rnacentral:rRNA from 1 species